CCUGCAAAGGGACAAUCCAAGAAGCGUCCUGGAGGAAUCUGACAUCUCUGUGGGUUCUGUGUCCAUCUACAGCCUGUCCUCAAUGCUUCAGCCCUGGAGAGAGCGUGGGUAUAGACCACCCUUCGGCCACACCUACACUGCCUUCUGGCCACUCCUCAUGGGAUCCAUGAGGAUUCCACAGAUCCAUCCACCAACCAGCACUCCCCAUCACUCCGCGCUUUGCCAGGUAGGUAGUCGGCCUCUCCACUACGCUGUCAACUCCAGGGGACAGGGCUCUUUGUGUUUUGUUCAUUGCUGUGACCCUAGCACCUAGAACAAGGCUCAACCCAGAAGAAUUGCUCAAAAAGACAUCUAUUGACCAUACAAAUAAAUGAUAGAAUCUUC